rnacentral:rRNA from 1 species
AGAGUUUGAUCCUGGCUCAGAUUGAACGCUGGCGGCGUGCUUAACACAUGCAAGUCGAACGUGAAAGUCCUUCGGGGCGAGUAAAGUGGCGCACGGGUGAGUAACGCGUGGAUAAUCUACCCUUAAGAUGGGGAUAACGGCUGGAAACGGUCGCUAAUACCGAAUACGCUCCCGAUUUUAUCAUUGGGGGGAAAGAUGGCCUCUGCUUGCAAGCUAUCGCUUAAGGAUGAGUCCGCGUCCCAUUAGCUAGUUGGCGGGGUAACGGCCCACCAAGGCAACGAUGGGUAGCCGGUCUGAGAGGAUGACCGGCCACACUGGAACUGGAACACGGUCCAGACUCCUACGGGAGGCAGCAGUGGGGAAUAUUGCGCAAUGGGCGAAAGCCUGACGCAGCGACGCCGCGUGAGGGAUGAAGGUUCUCGGAUCGUAAACCUCUGUCAGGGGGGAAGAAACCCCCUCGUGUGAAUAAUGCGAGGGCUUGACGGUACCCCCAAAGGAAGCGCCGGCUAACUCCGUGCCAGCAGCCGCGGUAAUACGGAGGGUGCAAGCGUUAAUCGGAAUCACUGGGCGUAAAGCGCACGUAGGCGGCUUGGUAAGUCAGGGGUGAAAUCCCACAGCCCAACUGUGGAACUGCCUUUGAUACUG